ensembl:snRNA U2 U2 spliceosomal RNA
AUUGCUUCUCUGCCUUUUGGCUAAGAUCAAGUGUAGGAAAGGUCAAAUGUUGGAGAUUUUUUGUUUUUGUUGAUUGGGUAAAUUAAUGUCAUGUCAGUAUUUAUGCGUUGGGUCUACAACAGAAUGGCACCCUAU